CUUCCGUGUCCCCAAACGCCCAGAGCCCGGGACACGGGCCGGCGGCCGGGUCACCAAGCCAGUUCCCGGAAUCGGCUCGCGCCGGAAUCCAUAUUCGGCUUGCAAAGCCCGCUCCUGCCGUCUCUCCGCAGCGCGCCCUGCCCCACACUGCCGGCCCUCUUAGCUUCAAAACCAAAUUUUGCCUUUCAUCCUGAGAGAUUAAUACCCCGCAGGUGAAACCUUGGAGACGGAGCUGCGGAGGCGCUGCAAGGCUCCGUGCUCCUGGAGCUUCGAGUCUAUG
rnacentral:antisense_RNA from 1 species